rnacentral:tRNA from 1 species
AGGUUACUUCGGUAGAGCACCUGACUGUUAAUCAGGUUGUCGCUGGUUCGAGCCCAGCAGGGGGAGCCA